rnacentral:rRNA from 1 species
AUGAGAAAGAAAACUAAGGCUCCAUAUCCUCCAUAUCCUCAUACCGAAGGCUCAUCUAGGAGCCAACCUAAUAGAGUGGAAGAAAAGACCACUCCACCAAAGACAAAACAGCCCAUCCCAAAGCAAACUAGAGGCAAGGGUAAGGCAAAUGAAGGCCCAAAGUGCUAUAAAUGUGGUAAAGAGGGACACAUAUCCAGCGGUUGUCCACUAAGGAAAUUUUUUAACACGACUAUCCAUGAUGGUGAAAGCGAUGAGGAAGAAUACAAAUCUGAAGAUGUAGACAGACAAGAGGUUUGUCAAGAAGAAGGUGAAGAGGUGGUAUGUGUGAUCCAGCGUGUCCUAUGUUCCACACCACAACUUGAUGACACACAGCGGAAGAAAAUAUUUGAGAGCAAAUGCACGAUGAAUGGCAAGGUAUGA